GGUGAUUGGUCCGCGCUCCCCACGUGGUGCGCCUGGCUACCGGCACCCCCGGAGCUCCCUUAAAAAAUGGCGGAAAUUUCAAAUUGCGACGCGGUCCCAGUAGCGGGAACAGCUGUUUGCCGCCAGUUUUCCCCGCGCUCUCCUGCAACCGCCCCUCCCCCCGAGUUAUCUCCUCCAGUAUGGAGGCGGCGGCUGCGGUGGUUGCUGGACCGCAGGCAUCACCUCAGACUCUGUCUCCGUGUCCGGCGGACCUGUCCCUGCAGCGUCGUCAAGUUUCCCAGCUGUACAGGCGGCGCGAUGCGCCCGUGGGUGGUGAUGUUGGCGGGGCAUUCGUCUCCUCGUGUCUUCUCCUGACUCCAAGGGGCCGCCUCUACGAAGACGGCCGUGCGGUGCAGGGCCGUCUGGUGCCCGUGGGGGGAGCAGUGCUGCCAGGGUGUCCCCGGAGGCCCAUUUAGCUUCAACAACACCUCCAACAGCACCUCGCACAACAUCACCACCACCAACUACGCCUCCUCCUCCCGCACCUCAUCGCCCUCAUUUUGCUGCAAGAGUAAUGAGUACGACGAGGGGGUGCCGUUGACGUGGUUUUUGCAAAUAUUAAUCUUGGCUGCCACCUUCCUUGCCGUGGUCACAGCCUCCUACGCCAUCAGAUGCUGCUGCUGCCGCCGCCGGUGCUUUGGCCCGCAGCACCUGGUACUACUUCCCAUUCGGUGGUACCGGUUCCCCGUCCCCUCUGCGACGUCGCUACCUGACCCCGAGGGAGCCGGGGGUGGUAGUGGCCGCCUCAGUCCGAGCGCCCCGCUCGCCGACGAGGAGCGGACGAUGGUACCACCCUCGUACGACGACAGCGUGCGGAUCCUGCCGAGUCCUGAUCCUCAGCUGCCCCGGGAGCUCCCGCUGGUUCCCGAGUCCCAGCCUCCCCGGGGGCUCACGCGGUAUUUCAGCUGAUAGAGAGCAUGCGGCUCCCCCAGGGCAUGCGGCUGGAUAGCAGCAAACCUGGUUCAGCAAUGUGUGGUGUUAUGUGAUGGUCAUGUGUGUGCGUACACAUGUGGGGAAAAUCACACGUGGCUCAAAGCGGUGUUUGUGUGUACACCUGUACGAAUCACCUUCUUUAGCUUGUGCACGGCUACUUUUGUCGUGGAAUAUUUCCGGGUGUGGGCAAAUCCGGCUCAAAUUAGGCACUGGUCGUAUUUUUUAUUACAGCCGUAAGAAGACACCUGGCCCAGCUUGAAGUUUAUAGUAUACACUUUUAGAAAGUGUGAGACAUGUCGCAUCGGAAUGAACACGUUUUGUAGACACGCAGAUCUUCCUGCAGUCUAUCUCGAGUAAACACAGACAUCUGGCCCAGAUUGUGGUUUGUCUUGGUCAUGUACACAUCUCUUGAGUUAAUUUCUGGGUCUGACUUAAGUACAUGCCUGUUAAAUUAAUACCUAGUUCAGUCCAUAUUAUAUGUACUUAUGACCUGAACAAAGUACAAUGAAACAUUGUCAAAAAUGCAUCGUGUAAUUCCAAGGCUCGGCUGUGUCGCGGAUUGUGGAUCUACGAAUGCUGAGUUACAAAGCGGAGGGGGGGGGGGUGGUUAAAGAAAAGGGGAGUGGCAGCCAGGGCAGUCCAUAUGGGGGUGUGGGACCCGAGGCAAAUCACAGUGUGUGGGCCUUUCAAAGCGCGGGGUCCCGGGCGGUCGCUCCGAAUCGCCGUACCCUUGGGACGGUUCUGGUGACAGGACUUGUGGGACUAAUGAGUCCUCUGUUGCGACCAUCACUUUAGUUACAUUUCCAUGACAAUGACACCAUGGACCUAACCUCAUUGUCCACGCUCACAUCCUGCCUUGAACACCAUCUUAGCUUGCAUUGGUUCUAGCUUUUCCAGAUAAAUGUUUUCAAAACUGAGGUAAUAAACUCCUCAACAAGAACUGCAUUCUUCAACGUGCACGUUACGGUUGCCACUCCAUAUGCAAUUGGAAAAUGAAGUUGACAUCUUCUUAGAUCACACCCUUUUCUCAAUUUGUUACAUUUGGUGUAAACGUCAACUGCUGAGAAUUUCAUUCCAUUCUGUUAAUAAUUACAGCUUGCUUAGGAUAUCUUCCUGUUGCUCUCUGCAUCUGUGCCUCUAUACGAUGACUCCCAUGUGCAUCGACUGUCAUGCAUGUUUCAACUCUGUUAAGCAACCAGCAAAUAUUGAGGCAACAUGCAAUGGUUUCAUCUUAAUGGGCAAAUUAACAAAACCAGGAUGUUUGAUCUUGAAAAUAACAAACUUGAAUUUUAAGUGGCACCCCAGUGUGCACAUUAUUAACACUGCAUGACACCAUGUGCAAGCACCCUUAAAUUGCCACUGAUCCAACGAAUCUCAGCUUCAUCCACACAACAUCUCCCACACGUUACCUCCUCAACCCAGCUGUCGCUGAGACCCGUGCCACCAUCACCACAUCUAUCGCAACUCUUACCUCUCCCAAAAUGGCUCAUCUUCAAACUCAAGAUGAUCCUAAAUGCCACUGUCAGACUUGUCAACCGCACCCAUAAACAACACCAUCACUCACCUAGAUACGUCCAAUGGUUCCCAAUUCAAUCAAAGAUAAUUUUCUAGAUCACAUUCACCAUCUUCAAGGUCCAUAAUAAAUUCGACCCUGCCUCUCAUCCUAUGCUACGAAGCCGCGUGGACUAUCCGCAACCAAGGCUUUCUGUUGAAGCCCCAGUCAACCUUCGCUCAGUGAUAGGAGGUUUCUAAAUUUCCUCUGCUGCCCGUGUGAUAUGGAACAUCUUUUCCCGAGAUACCCGUGUUGUUGACUUUCUGCCCCUGUUUAAGUGAACGCUUAAGAUCUUCCUUUUUCCCCAACUCACUAUUUGACCGACUAUCUCUCUCUGCAAAAUAAAAAAAUAACCCACGGUUUCUGAACAACGUCAUGAGAUGCGGAUGCGUUUAGGAUGCUAUAGGAAUUAAAAUUGCAUUCUAUUGUAUAAAAGUCACUUUAUAUAAAGAGGUCCCAAAAAGGAUUUGAUAAAAGGUCCGACUCACUUGCAUCUAACCUUAAGAGAACCCACAAUGAGCGUUUAUACAAAGAGCAUUGUAAGAGUAUUUACAUUUAUAGCCAACCCCCAUGCAAUAAUGGGCCUUUCGUCUUUGAAGACAAAGAAAUUUAAAACGUGGAGUAGGCACUUUCCGUUCUCAACGUUCCAAUUCAUGGGGGAAAUGCAAAUGACCCAGUUGCAAAUGACACUCAAAACCGGCGUUAAACUGCUUAGCGCCCUUGGAGUUUCACCCACAUCUCGUUGACCUUUGGAGUUGUAAAUGUCUAUUCAUAAUAAAUGCAGAGUGGUCCAAAAGUCAGGACACAUAGGGUUAUUUAACUUAUUUCAA